GAUGAAGAACGCAGCGAAAUGCGAUAAGUAAUGUGAAUUGCAGAAUUCAGUGAAUCAUCGAAUCUUUGAACGCACAUUGCGCCCGCCAGCAUUCUGGCGGGCAUGCCUGUUCGAGCGUCAUUUCAACCCUCGAGCCCCCCCGGGGGCCUCGGUGUUGGGGGACGGCACACCAGCCGCCCCCGAAAUGCAGUGGCGACCCCGCCGCAGCCUCCCCUGCGUAGUAGCACACACCUCGCACCGGAGCGCGGAGGCGGUCACGCCGUAAAACGCCCAACUUUCUUAGAGUUGACCUCGGAUCAGGUAGGAAUACCCGCUGAACUUAAGCAUAUCAAUAGCGGAGG
rnacentral:misc_RNA from 1 species